rnacentral:rRNA from 1 species
UACGUAGGGUGCAAGCGUUAAUCGGAAUUACUGGGCGUAAAGCGUACGCAGGCGGCUUUGCAAGACAGGUGUGAAAUCCCCGGGCCUAACCUGGGAACUGCAUUUGUGACUGCAUGGCUAGAGUCUGUCAGAGGGGGGUGGAAUUCCACGUGUAGCAGUGAAAUGCGUAGAGAUGUGGAGGAACACCGAUGGCGAAGGCAGCCCCCUGGGUCAAGAUUGACGCUCAUGCACGAAAGCGUGGGGAGCAAACAGG